rnacentral:rRNA from 1 species
ACGAACGCUGGCGGCAUGCCUAACACCUGCCAGUCGAACGAGACCUUCGGGUCUAGUGGCUCACGGGUGCGUAACGCGUGGGAACCUGCCCUUAGGUUCGGAAUAACUCCCCGAAAGGGGUGCUAAUACCGGAUAAUGUCUUCGGACCAAAGAUUUAUCGCCUUUGGAUGGGCCCGCGUUGGAUUAGCUAGUUGGUAGGGUAAAAGCCUACCAAGGCGACGAUCCAUAGCUGGUCUGAGAGGAUGAUCAGCCACACUGGGACUGAGACACGGCCCAGACUCCUACGGGAGGCAGCAGUGGGGAAUAUUGGACAAUGGGCGAAAGCCUGAUCCAGCAAUGCCGCGUGAGUGAUGAAGGCCUUAGGGUUGUAAAGCUCUUUUACCCGGGAUGAUAAUGACAGUACCGGGAGAAUAAGCUCCGGCUAACUCCGUG